rnacentral:rRNA from 1 species
UCCGGUUGAUCCUGCCGGACCUGACUGCUAUCGGAUUGAUACUAAGCCAUGCGAGUCAUUGUAGCAAUACAAGGCAGACGGCUCAGUAACGCGUAGUCAAUCUACCCUAUGGACGGGGAUAACCUCGGGAAACUGAGAAUAAUACCCGACAGAACAUUAUGCCUGGAAUGGUUUAUGUUUUAAAUGAUUUAUCGCCGUAGGAUGGGACUGCGGCCUAUCAGUUUGUUGGUGAGGUAAUGGCCCACCAAGACUAUUACAGGUACGGGCUCUGAGAGGAGUGGCCCGGAGAUGGGUACUGAGACACGGACCCAGGCCUUAUGGGGCGCAGCAGGCGAGAAAACUUUGCAAUGUGCGAAAGCACGACAAGGUUAAUCCGAGUGGUUUCCGCUAAAGAAACCUUUUGUUAGUCCUAGAAACACUGACGAAUAAGGGGUGGGCAAGUUCUGGUGUCAGCCGCCGCGGUAAAACCAGCACCUCAAGUGGUCAGGAUGAUUAUUGGGCCUAAAGCAUCCGUAGCUUGCUUUGUAAGUUCUCGGUUAAAUCCAUGCGCUUAACGUAUGGGCUGCCGGUAAUACUGCAAAGCUAGGGAGUGGGAGAGGUAGACGGUACUCGGGAGGAAGGGGUAAAAUCCUUUGAUCUAUUGAUGACCACCUGUGGCGAAGGCGGUCUACCAGAACACGUCCGACGGUGAGGGAUGAAAGCUGGGGGAGCAAACCGGAUUAGAUACCCGGGUAGUCCCAGCUGUAAACUAUGCAAACUCAGUGAUGCAUUGGCUUGUGGCCAAUGCAGUGCUGCAGGGAAGCCGUUAAGUUUGCCGCCUGGGAAGUACGUACGCAAGUAUGAAACUUAAAGGAAUUGGCGGGAAGGGCGAAUUCGU